rnacentral:tRNA from 1 species
AGCAGUGUGGCUCAGUGGAAAGAGCCCGGGGAGUCCGAGAUCAUGGGUUCGAAUCCCGGCUCUGCCA